UUUGUGUGUUGGAGGGCUGAGGUCGGGAAGGUGAUGGGCGCAGACCCCCAGGGACUCACGUACCAAGUCAGUCCGGAGUCCUGGCCCGUGGCGUGGGUUGCAGGCAGCAGAAAAGUGUUUAAAGCAAAGCAGGAAUGGAUUCUCUUGACUGCAUGACAUCUGAUUCAGCUAUGGAAAUUGAAAAUCAAAGUGAUAAUUCCUCUUCUGGUAGCAGCUUGUUUAAAACUCAAUGUGUUCCUUCCUCACCUAAACGGAGGCAAAGAAACCCCAUUAGAAAAAUUAUUCAUUCACCCGAAAGCGUUCAAGCAAGAGAUUCAUCAAGUGACUCAUCUUUUGAGCCAAGACCAUUGACUUUAAAAGCUAUUUUUGAAAGAUUUAAGAAAAAGAAACGUAAAAAGAGGAGGAGGAAAUACAAGCCAACGGGAAGACCAACAGGAAGACCAGUGGGAAGGAGAAACACUAGAAUCUCACAAAUAUGUAAGAAACAAUUUAAAGAAAGAGUGCCUGGGUUCCCAUUUUUAGAAUCAGAGAAUGGAAGAAAACAAUUACCUUGGAGAAAAAUUUUAACCUUUGAGCAAGCUGUUGCAAGAGGAUUUUUUAACUACAUCGAAAAACUGAAGUAUGAACAUCAUCUUAAAGAAUCAUUGAAACAAAUGGAUGUUGGUGAAGAUUUAGAAAAAGAAGAUCUUGACAGUCGUAGGUAUAAGUAUUUGGAUGAUGAUGGAUCCAUUUCCCCUAUUGAAGAGUCAGCAGCAGAGGAAGAGGAUGUGACACAUCUUGAAAAUGAUGAGUGUGAUAUCAAAUUGGUAGAGGAUAGUUGUUUCAUAAUAUGUUCUGAAUUCCCAAAGAUGAGUGUGUAUUUAGAACAAGAAGAAGUCGCUUUAUCUAAAAAAAGAGCUUCAAAGGCUAAAAACAUUGGACAGAGAACACAGUGUCCUGAAAAGAAGACAGGAACAUAAAUGUCAAGAAGGCUUUUGUCUUCAGAACAUGAUGUCUGAAAUUGGAAGGAAUGAAUAUGAUUUAAACUCUUCCUAUUAGAGAGGGUGUCAGAAAAUUGAGAACAGAGCAGGUCAAUCUACUCUAAAAAUGGCCCUAAAGUAAAUUGCUUAAAGAAAUAAAGAUCCCAAAGAUUCUUGGUAAGGUUUUAAUUUGUUACCUCAAAGGCAAUAUAGGUAAAGCAAACUAGAGUUAUAGAAUUUAUCUAAUAAUUCUAUUGCAACCAAACCUGGUGGUUGAUUAAUCCACUUAAGACAAAACGCUAGAUUUUACUAUGUCGCUGUGUAUUUACACUGAUUAUCAGUGAUGUAUGGUGUUAUGAUGAUGGGCAAAAUGUUCAACUGCUCUGAAUGGGCUGAAUGAAAAUAGCCUUUCUGAACAUCUAUCCUCAUUAAAUAUACGCUAUAUUUUAGAACAUUAUAAAAGCUCCAAGGUAAAAACUAUCUCCAACAUGCAAUGCAAGCUUCAAAAUAGUUUUUUUUUUUUUUUUUUUUUGGCAGCUGGCCAGGACAGGGAUCUGAACCCACAACUUUGGUUUUAACAGGCCAAUCAGCCCAAAAUAGCUGUCUUUACAGUUCAGCAGAACUAACAGCAAGAUCAGUUAUUAGUUGAAAUGGACUAAAUUGAAAAGAUGCGAAUAGAUGCAAUGAGCAAUUUUAAGCCUGAAAUUUUCAAUACAUAGUAGGUGGGCACUGAGUUUUAGGAUACUUUGGGACCUGUGCAACCUCAUUUUAAAAGUUAGAUUUAGUGCUUUUUUAAUAUUAACUAUGAAUUUGAAAUAUGAAU